rnacentral:siRNA from 1 species
GACGGUGUGUCAAAGUUCUAGUAC